GGGCCGUUAGCUCAGCUGGCAGAGCAGGUGACUCUUAAUCACAAGGUCGAAGGUUCGAUCCCUUCACGGCCCA
rnacentral:tRNA from 1 species